rnacentral:ncRNA from 1 species
ACACACCUCUGGAAAGCCGUUUGAUCGGCGCCGACGAAGCAAAGCCUGGCACACAGGCAAAUCUUUCAGGCAAACAGACAGAGGC